GCUGGGUGUGGUGCCUCACACCUGUAAUCCCAGCACUUUGGGAGGCCGAGAUGGGUGGAUUACCUGAGGUCAGGAGUUCAAGACCAGCCUGACCAAUAUGGUCAAACCCCAUCUCUA
rnacentral:SRP_RNA from 1 species